GACGAACGCUGGCGGCGUGCUUAACACAUGCAAGUCGAACGGAAAGGCCCGUCUUUGUGGGGUGCCUCAGUGGCCGACGGGGUAAUAAAACGUUAGUUAACCUCCCCUGACCUUUGGAUAACCUUCGGAAACCUGGGCUAAUAACGGAAUGGAGCCUCUUCCGCCUGGUGGGGGUUGGAAAGUUUCGGCGGUUGGGGAUGGACUCGCGGCUUAUCAGCUUGUUGGUGGGGUAGUGGCUUACCAAGGCUUUGACGGGUAGCCGGCCUGAGAGGGUGAACGGCCACAUUGGGACUGAGAUACGGCCCAGACUCCUACGGGAGGCAGCAGUGGGGAAUAUUGCACAAUGGGCGGAAGCCUGAUGCAGCAACGCCGCGUGCGGGAUGACGGCCUUCGGGUUGUAAACCGCUUUCGCCUGUGACGAAGCGUGAGUGACGGUAAUGGGUAAAGAAGCACCGGCUAACUACGUG
rnacentral:rRNA from 1 species